UGAGUCGAGCGAGAAAGGGGGGCAACUCCCUGAGUAAAGCGGCGCACGGGUGAGUAACACGUGGGUAAUCUGCCCUGGAGUGGGGAAUAACACCGGGAAACCGGUGCUAAUACCGCAUACGAUCACGAUGUCUGCGGAUGUUGUGAUGAAAGGAGCAAUUCGCUCUAGGAGGAGCCCGCGGCUGAUUAGCUAGUUGGCGAGGUAAUGGCUCACCAAGGCUUCGAUCAGUAUCCGGUCUGAGAGGACGGUCGGACACACUGGAACUGAGACACGGUCCAGACUCCUACGGGAGGCAGCAGUGGGGAAUUUUUCGCAAUGGGGGCAACCCUGACGAAGCAACGCCGCGUGGGUGAUGAAGUAUCUCGGUACGUAAAACCCUUUCGACGGGGAAGAAACCGCAAGGUUGACGGUACCCGUAGAAGAAGCCCCGGCUAACUCCGUGCCAGCAGCCGCGGUAAUACGGGGGGGGCGAGCGUUGUUCGGAAUUACUGGGCGUAAAGGGUGCGUAGGCGGUCCGCUAAGUUGGAUGUGAAAACUCUGGGCUUAACCCAGAGCCUGCAUUCAAAACUGACGGGCUAGAGUUCUGGAGGGGGUAGCGGAAUUCCUGGUGUAGCGGUGAAAUGCGUAGAUAUCAGAGGAACACCGGUGGCGAAGCGGCUACCUGGACAGAGUCUGACGCUGAGCACGAAAGCUAGGGGAGCAAACAGAUUAGAUACCCUGGUGGUCCUAGCCCUAAACGAUGGAUACUUGGUGUAGCUGGGAUUGAAUCCAGCUGUGCCGAACUAACGCAUUAAGUAUCCCGCCGGGGAGUACGGUCGCAGGCUGAAACUCAAAGAUGACGGGGCCGCACAGCGGUG
rnacentral:rRNA from 1 species